rnacentral:RNase_P_RNA from 1 species
UAAGAGCGCACCGCGCCGGUAGUAAUACCGGCGGCAGGGAAAACCCCACCUGGAGCAAGACCAAAUAGAGGGACAGGGUAAAACCAUGCGUGGUCCGCGCAGUCCCUGGGUAGGUUGCUAGAGAUGUACGGUGACGUGCAUUCGAGAUGAAUGAUUGCCCCUGUUAACGAAGGUUAACAGUACAGAACCCGGCUUACAGGUCGGCCCCCCAC